AUAUUAACAAGGGGAGGAAAAGAAACUAACAAGGAUUCCCCUAGUAACGGCGAGUGAAGCGGGAAGAGCUCAAAUUUAAAAUCUGGCGGCCUCAGGUCGUCCGAGUUGUAGUCUAGAGAAGUGUUUUCCGUGCUGGACCGUGUACAAGUCCCUUGGAACAGGGCGUCAUAGAGGGUGAGAAUCCCGUCUUUGACACGGACUACCAGUGCUCUGUGAUGCACUCUCGAAGAGUCGAGUCGUUUGGGAAUGCAGCUCAAAUCGGGUGGUAAAUUCCAUCUAAAGCUAAAUAUUGGCGAGAGACCGAUAGCGCACAAGUA
rnacentral:rRNA from 1 species